UAUAGCUCAGUGGUACAGCAUUUGCUUAGCAUGCAUGAGGCUCUGGGUUCAAACCCCAGUA
rnacentral:tRNA from 1 species